GGGUGCGAUCAUACCAGGAUUAAUGCAUCGGAUCCCAUCGAAACUCUGCAGUUAAGCAUGCUUGGACUAGAGUAGUACUGGGAUGGGUGACCUCCUGGGAAGUCCUAGUGUUGCACCCU
rfam:Picea glauca, whole genome shotgun sequence.